GGAGACCUGCGGAGGGAUCAUUACACAACAAAAUAUGAAGGCCUGGCUUCGCGGCCGGCUGAAAUAUUUUUUUCACCCAUGUCUUUUGCGCACUUGUUGUUUCCUGGGCGGGUUCGCCCGCCACCAGGACCAAACCAUAAACCUUUUUUUUAUGCAGUUGCAAUCAGCGUCAGUAAAAACAAUGUAAUUAUUACAACUUUCAACAACGGAUCUCUUGGUUCUGGCAUCGAUGAAGAACGCAGCGAAAUGCGAUACGUAGUGUGAAUUGCAGAAUUCAGUGAAUCAUCGAAUCUUUGAACGCACAUUGCGCCCUUUGGUAUUCCAAAGGGCAUGCCUGUUCGAGCGUCAUUUGUACCUUCAAGCUUUGCUUGGUGUUGGGCGUUUUUUGUCUCCCUCUUUCUGGGAGACUCGCCUUAAAACGAUUGGCAGCCGGCCUACUGGUUUCGGAGCGCAGCACAUAUUUUGCGCUUUGUAUCAGGAGAAAAGGACGGUAAUCCAUCAAGACUCUACAUUUUUAACUUUUGACCUCGGAUCAGGGUAGGAUCCCCGCUGAACUUAAGCAUAUCAA
rnacentral:rRNA from 1 species